CCCUUUGCAAUUUGCCGCCAAAGCACCUAUAUUGACAGGUGCUGGAAACAGCUAUGGCGAUAAAUGGCUAUCGGAAUAAACCCAUCGGACCCGGGGGCGGUACCCGGCGCCUCCACCAGAUCUCUACGCACGCCGUGGGGAUGUUAUGGGGGCGAAAUAGGAUCGACGAGGGCGUAAAGGGUAUGCUUUUGCCCGGCAUGGUACCACCGUAUCGGACCACAUCUAUAGUUGCAAAUGACAACUAUGCUGAGGCUCUGGCUGCGUAAGCGGUUCGACACCUCGAAUUGAAGCCCUUUUCCCCUGGCAGGGUAAAGGCGGGGUCCGCAGGCACCUGGCAACAGAAGCCUGCACC
rnacentral:tmRNA from 1 species